CACGGGGGUUGCGAGCGUUGUCCGGAAUUACUAGGCGUAAAGGGCAGGCAGGCGGAUCCAUAAGUUUAUCGUUUAAGGCGUCGGCUUAACCGGCGUAGGGCGGUAGAUACUGUGGAUCUGGAAUGCGGUUGGGGAAGACAGAAUUCCUGGUGUAGCGGUGGAAUGCGCAGAGAUCAGGAGGAAUACCGAAGGCGAAGGCAGGUCUCUGGGCCACUACUGACGCUGAGAAGCGAAAGCAUGGGGAGCGAACAGGAUUAGAUACCCUGGUAGU
rnacentral:rRNA from 1 species